CUUCUGUUGAUGAUAACCUUGUCCAGUUCUGCUACUGACUGUCUGUGAUGACAUUGACCAAUCUGAAGAUG